rnacentral:rRNA from 1 species
GGUAAAGCGAAUGAUUAGAGGCCUUAGGGUCGAAACGACCUUAACCUAUUCUCAAACUUUAAAUGGGUAAGAACCUCACCUUUCUUGAUAUGAAGGUUGUGGUUGUGAUAUAUUGUGCCCAGUGGGCCACUUUUGGUAAGCAGAACUGGCGCUGUGGGAUGAACCAAACGUAAUGUUACGGUGCCCAAAUUUACAACUCAUGCAGAUACCAUGAAAGGCGUUGGUUGCUUAAAACAGCAGGACGGUGGACAUGGAAGUCGUAAUCCGCUAAGGAGUGUGUAACAACUCACCUGCCGAAGCAACUAGCCCUUAAAAUGGAUGGCGCUUAAGUUGUAUACCUAUACAUUACCGCUAAAGUAAAUGAUUUAUAUUAUUUUAUAAUUUUAAAUUAUGAAACUUUAGUGAGUAGGAGGGUACAAUGGUGUGCAUUGAAGUGUUUGGCGUGAGCCUGCAUGGAGCCGCCAUUGGCACAGAUCUUGGUGGUAGUAGCAAAUAAUCGAAUGAGACCUUGGAGGACUGAAGUGGAGAAGGGUUUCGUGUGAACAGUGGUUGAUCACGAGUUAGUCGGUCCUAAGUUCAAGGCGAAAGCCGAAAAUUUUCAAGUUAUUAUCUAAUUAAUUUUUAACAAAAAAUUUAAUAGUAAUUAUAUACUUGAUUAUUUUUGAACGAAAGGGAAUACGGUUCCAAUUCCGUAACCUGUUGAGUAUCCGUUUGUUAUUAAAAAUGGGCCACUGUGCUCAUCCUGGCAACAGGAACGACCAUAAAGAAGCCGUCGAGAGAUAUCGGAAGAGUUUUCUUUUCUGUUUUAUAAUCGUACUACCAUGGAAGUCUUUCGAAGAGAGAUAUGGUAGAUGGAUUAGAAGAGCAUGACAUUUACUGUUGUGUCGAUAUUUUCUCCUCGGACCUUGAAAAUUUAUGGUGGGGUCACGCAAACUUCUCAACAGGCCGUACCGAUAUCCGCAGCUGGUCUCCAAGGUGAAGAGUCUCUAGUCGAUAGAAUAAUGUAGGUAAGGGAAGUCGGCAAAUUAGAUCCGUAACUUCGGGAUAAGGAUUGGCUCUGAAGAUUGAGAUAGUCGGGCUUGAUUGGGAAGCAAUAACAUGGUUUAUGUGCUCGUUCUGGGUAAAUAGAGAUUUUCGGAUCUUGUUCCUCGGAUAGUUUAGUUACAUAGCCAAUUGUGGAACUCUCUUGCUAAAAUUUAUAUAAAAUUUUCUUUUAAUAGGGUUAUAUUUUAUAUAAAUUAUAACGAUUAUCAAUUAACAAUCAAUUCAGAACUGGCACGGACUUGGGGAAUCCGACUGUCUAAUUAAAACAAAGCAUUGUGAUGGCCCUAACGGGUGUUGACACAAUGUGAUUUCUGCCCAGUGCUCUGAAUGUCAAAGUGAAGAAAUUCAAGUAAGCGCGGGUAAACGGCAGGAGUAACUAUGACUCUUUUAAGGUAGCCAAAUGCCUCGUCAUCUAAUUAGUGACGCGCAUGAAUGGAUUAACGAGAUUCCNNNNNNNNNNNNNNNNNNNNNNNNNNNNNNNNNNNNNNNNNNNCGGGCUUGGAAUAAUUAGCGGGGAAAGAAGACCCUGUUGAGCUUGACUCUAAUCUGGCAGUGUAAGGAGACAUAAGAGGUGUAGCAUAAGUGGGAGAUAGAUAUUUUUUUUAAAAAUAUUUACCGACAAUGAAAUACCACUACUCUUAUUGUUUCCUUACUUACUUGAUUAAGUGGAACGUGUAUCAAUUCUUAGCCAUUAUACGGAUAUAUUUUCCAUAUAUCUUAUGGUAUUGGGUUUUGAUGCAAGCUUCUUGAUCAAAGUACUAAGAGUUUGUUAUAUAAUUUAAACACAUAUUUAAUGAAAUGUUUUUCAUACGCAUAUAGAUAUUUUACGAUUGAAAUAUGUUUAUGUUAAUAUUGUAAUUAAAUUGUGGUAUAACUCCAAUGACUCAGGUAUGAUCCAAUUCAAGGACAUUGCCAGGUCGGGAGUUUGACUGGGGCGGUACAUCUCUCAAAUAAUAACGGAGGUGUCCCAAGGCCAGCUCAGUGCGGACAGAAACCACACAUAGAGCAAAAGGGCAAAUGCUGACUUGAUCUCGGUGUUCAGUACACACAGAGACAGCAAAAGCUCGGCCUAUCGAUCCUUUUGGUUUAAUGAGUUUUUAACAAGAGGUGUCAGAAAAGUUACCAUAGGGAUAACUGGCUUGUGGCGGCCAAGCGUUCAUAGCGACGUCGCUUUUUGAUCCUUCGAUAUCGGCUCUCUCUAUCAUUGUGAAGCAAAAUUCACCAAGCGUUGGAUUGUUCACCCAUUCAAGGGAACGUGAGCUGGGUUUAGACCGUCGUGAGACAGGUUAGUUUUACCCUACUAAUGACAAAUAUGUUAUUGCGACAGCAUUCCUGCGUAGUACGAGAGGAACCGCAGGUACGGACCAAUGGUACAAUACUUGUUCGAGCGAACAGUGGUAUGAUACUACGUCCGUUGGAUUAUGCCUGAACGCCUCUAAGGUCGUAUCCGUGCUGGACUGCAAUAAUUAAAAUGGGGCAAAUUGCAUUGUAUGGCUUCGAAAACCAUUUUAAAGUUUAUAAAUUUAUUUUAUAAACGAUACCAAAUGGAUUAUUUUUGAUGCCAAUGUUAUUUGUAACAUAGCAAAACCGGGAGGAUUCUUAUCACUUGGUUGACGCGCUAGUUACAUAUAAAAACAUCAUUGUACAAUAGCAAUGCCUAGAAUCAAUUGUAAACGACUUUGGUAACGGGCAAGG